rnacentral:rRNA from 1 species
UACGUAGGGGGCUAGCGUUGUCCGGAAUCAUUGGGCGUAAAGCGCGCGUAGGCGGCCCGGUAAGUCCGCUGUAAAAGUCAAAGGCUCAACCUUUGAAUGUCAGUGGAUACUGCCGGGCUAGAGUCCGGAAGAGGCGAGUGGAACUCCUGGUGUAGCGGUGAAAUGCGCAGAUAUCAGGAGGAACACCGGUGGCGAAGGCGGGUCUCUGGGCAGUAACUGACGCUGGAGGAGCGAAAGCGUGGGGAGCAAACAGG